UGUUGGAAGUGCACAAGAAACUUAUUCAAAACUUUAGUAGAAUGCUUGAGGCGAAAGAAGAGGCGAGAUCACAACCCUUAAAGGUCGCUGCGACAUGGAUACAGUAACCAUGACUGAAUUGAAGCAAGUUUUGAAGGAGCAAGAAGAUCACAUCGACCAGUUAGAGGCAUGUAAUGGCGAUCUAAGGAUUGGCCGCGAUCAUGUCGAAAAGCGUUUGAAGGGCAACACAGUCUCAAGCUUAAAUAGAUGAAUAGCAUCAAUUGACAAAACGGCUUAAAUAGAUAAUAAUCAUCAAUCCAAGGGAAACUCCGUAACUAUCCAAAUUCAAUACGUUUUGCGCACCCGCGAAAAGUUAACAUGGGGGAAAAGGCAGGCCGCAGCUGCAGCACAGAGAAAAGAUUUCAAGGAAAGACAACUAAG